GACGAACGGCUGGCGGCGUGGAUUAGGCAUGCAAGUCGAACGGUAGGAUACCUUCGGGUAUCUGAGAGUGGCGAACGGGUGAGUAACACGUAGGUGAUCUACCCUCAAGAUUGGGACAACCCAGGGAAACUUGGGCUAAUACCGGAUGAAAGCAGCAGUGAUGUUGUUUGAAAGGUGGCGUAAGCUGCCGUUUGGGGGAUGAGCCUGCGCUCUAUUAGUUAGUUGGCGGGGUAAAGGCCCACCAAGGCGAUGAUAGAUAGGCGGCCUUAACGGGUGGUCGCCCACACUGGGAUUGAGAUACGGCCCAGACUCCUACGGGAGGCAGCAGUCGAGAAUAGUCUACAAUGGCCGAAAGGCUGAUAGUGCGACGCCGCGUGAACGAAGAAGCCCUUCGGGGUGUAAAGUUCUUUUAUAUGUGAGCAGUGCUUUCUAUGUGAACAGCAUGGGGAGAGAGAUAUUAGCAUAUGAAUAAGCAACGGCUAACUCCGUG
rnacentral:rRNA from 1 species